UAAGACGAACCACACGAACGUUAUUCGGAAUUACUGGGCUUAAAGGGUGCGUAGGCUGCGCGGAAAGUUGGGUGUGAAAUCCCUCGGCUUAACCGAGGAACUGCGCCCAAAACUGCCGUGCUCGAGGAAGAUAGAGGUGAGCGGAACUUACGGUGGAGCGGUGAAAUGCGUUGAUAUCGUAAGGAACACCUGUGGCGAAAGCGGCUCACUGGGUCUUUUCUGACGCUGAUGCACGAAAGCUAGGGGAGCAAACGGG
rnacentral:rRNA from 1 species